UACGGAGGGUGCAAGCGUUAUCCGGAUUUACUGGGCUUAAAGGGUGCGUAGGCGGGUAGGUAAGUCAGUGGUGAAAUCUUCAAGCUUAACUUGGAAACUGCCAUUGAUACUAUUUAUCUUGAAUACUUUGGAGGUAAGCGGAAUAUGUCAUGUAGCGGUGAAAUGCUUAGAUAUGACAUAGAACACCAAUUGCGAAGGCAGCUUACUACACAGUAAUUGACACUGAGGCACGAAAGCGUGGGGAUCAAGCAGG
rnacentral:rRNA from 1 species